GUGAGUAACCUGCCCUGGACUCUGGGAUAACCCCGAGAAAUCGGAGCUAAUACCGGAUAGGACCUUUCCCCGCAUGGGGUUUGGUGGAAAGUUUUUCGGUCUGGGAUGGACUCGCGGCCUAUCAGCUUGUUGGUGAGGUAAUGGCUCACCAAGGCGUCGACGGGUAGCCGGCCUGAGAGGGUGACCGGCCACACUGGGACUGAGACACGGCCCAGACUCCUACGGGAGGCAGCAGUGGGGAAUAUUGCACAAUGGGCGCAAGCCUGAUGCAGCAACGCCGCGUGCGGGAUGACGGCCUUCGGGUUGUAAACCGCUUUUAGUAGGGAAGAAGGGCUUCGGCUUGACGGUACCUGCAGAAAAAGGACCGGCUAACUACGUGCCAGCAGCCGCGGUAAUACGUAGGGUCCGAGCGUUGUCC
rnacentral:rRNA from 1 species